GACCUGUUGGCGCAUUCGGCAGCGCAUCCACAAUAACUUCACGUUGUCCCGAAGGGAGUAUGUGGGAGGCCCCAGUUCGACUCUGGGAUGGGUCA